UCUAGGCACCAGGCAAGUAUUCGGGGUGCCCUUGGAAAGCCCCAGGGUGUGACAGCCAGGGUUUAUGUUGGCCAGGUCAUUGUGUCUAUCCGUACUAAGAGCAGAACCAUGAGGGUGUGAUUGAGGCCAUAUGCAGGGCCAAGUCUAAGUUCCCUGGCUGCCAGAAGAUCCACAGCACAAAGCAGCGGGCCUUGACCAAGUUCAAUGUGGAAGAAAUCGAUCCCACGUGGUGGCUGAGAAGCAGCUCAUCUGGCAUGGCUGUGGGGGUUAAACG
rnacentral:lncRNA from 1 species